rnacentral:rRNA from 1 species
UACGUAGGUGGCAAGCGUUGUCCGGAUUUACUGGGCGUAAAGAGCGCGCAGGCGGUCGUCCAAGUCGCGUGUGAAAGCCCCCGGCUCAACUGGGGAGGGUCACGCGAUACUGAUCGACUCGAAGGCAGGAGAGGGUAGUGGAAUUCCCGGUGUAGUGGUGAAAUGCGUAGAUAUCGGGAGGAACACCAGUGGCGAAGGCGGGUCUCUGGACAGUUCCUGACGCUGAGGCACGAAGGCCAGGGGAGCAAACGGG